CACAGCCACGGUAAUACGAAGGGGGCUAGCGUUGUUCGGAUUUACUGGGCGUAAAGGGCGCGUAGGCGGACUGAUAAGUCAGGGGUGAAAUCCCAGAGCUCAACUCUGGAACUGCCUUUGAUACUGGGUAUCUUGAGUAUGGAAGAGGUGAGUGGAAUUCCGAGUGUAAAGGUGAAAUUCGUAGAUAUUCGGAGGAACACCAGUGGCGAAGGCGGCUCACUGGUCCAUUACUGACGCUGAGGUGCGAAAGCGUGGGGAGCAAACAGGAUUAGAUACCCCCGUAGUCCCUGUCUCUUAUACC
rnacentral:rRNA from 1 species